rnacentral:rRNA from 1 species
CCUACGGGAGGCAGCAGUGGGGAAUCUUGCGCAAUGGGCGAAAGCCUGACGCAGCAACGCCGCGUGCGGGAUGAAGGCCUUCGGGUUGUAAACCGCUUUCAGCAGGGAAGAAAUUGACGGUACCUGCAGAAGAAGCCCCGGCCAACUACGUGCCAGCAGCCGCGGUAACACGUAGGGGGCGAGCGUUGUCCGGAUUUAUUGGGCGUAAAGAGCUCGUAGGCGGUUCGGUAAGUCGGGUGUGAAACCUCCAGGCUCAACCUGGAGACGCCACCUGAAACUGCUGUGACUAGAGUCCGGUAGGGGAGUGUGGAACUCCUGGUGUAGCGGUGAAAUGCGCAGAUAUCAGGAAGAACACCAGCGGCGAAGGCGGCACUCUGGGCCGGUACUGACGCUGAGGAGCGAAAGCGUGGGUAGCAAACAGGAUUAGAUACCCUGGUAGUCCACGCCGUAAACGUUGGGCACUAGGUGUGGGUCUCAACCAACGAGAUCCGUGCCGCNGCUACGCAUAGUCGCCGCCGUCGGGAGGUACGGCCGCCGACGACGUAAACGUACGAAAGAGAGUUAGUAACGGUCGUGUUAGACGUGCCGAACGGACGACGACGAGGGAGGAGG